UGGAAGUCUCUCCACUUAGGCCUAA
rnacentral:piRNA from 1 species